rnacentral:rRNA from 1 species
GAUGAACGCUAGCGGCAGGCUUAAUACAUGCAAGUCGAGGGGCAGCAUGAGUAGCAAUACUUGAUGGCGACCGGCAAACGGGUGCGGAACACGUACACAACCUUCCUUUAAGUGGGGAAUAGCCCAGAGAAAUUUGGAUUAAUACCCCGUAACAUAUAGAUGUGGCAUCACAAUUAUAUUAUAGGUUUACCGCUUAAAGAUGGGUGUGCGGCUGAUUAGAUAGUUGGCGGGGUAAUGGCCCACCAAGUCUACGAUCAGUAGCUGAUGUGAGAGCAUGAUCAGCCACACGGGCACUGAGACACGGGCCCGAUCCUACGGGAGGCAGCAGUAAGGAAUAUUGGACAAUGGACGCAAGUCUGAUCCAGCCAUGCCGCGUGAAGGAUUAAGGUCCUCUGGAUUGUAAACUUCUUUUAUAUUGGGACGAAAAAGGAAGAUACUUUCUCUCUCGUACGGUACGUACUAUAGAAUAAGACGACCGACCGUAACCUACCGUACG